UGAGGAAUAUUGGUCAAUGGACGAGAGUCUGAACCAGCCAAGUAGCGUGAAGGAUGAAGGUUCUAUGGAUUGUAAACUUCUUUUAUACGGGAAUAAACGAAUCCACGCGUGGAUUUUUGCAUGUACCGUAUGAAUAAGGAUCGGCUAACUCCGUGCCAGCAGCCGCGGUAAUACGGAGGAUCCGAGCGUUAUCCGGAUUUAUUGGGUUUAAAGGGAGCGUAGAUGGGUUGUUAAGUCAGUUGUGAAAGUUUGCGGCUCAACCGUAAAAUUGCAAUUGAUACUGGCAGUCUUGAGUACAGUUGAGGUAGGCGGAAUUCGUGGUGUAGCGGUGAAAUGCUUAGAUAUCACGAAGAACUCCAAUUGCGAAGGCAGCUUACUAACCUGUAACUGACAUUGAUGCUCGAAAGUGUGGGUAUCAAACAGGAUUAGAUACCCUGGUAGUCCACACGGUAAACGAUGAAUACUCGCUGUAGGCGAUAUACAGUCUGCGGCCAAGCGAAAGCAUUAAGUAUUCCACCUGGGGAGUACGCCGGCAACGGUGAAACUCAAAGGAAUUGACGGGGGCCCGCACAAGCGGAGGAACAUGUGGUUUAAUUCGAUGAUACGCGAGGAACCUUACCCGGGCUUAAAUUGCAACCGAAUAUGGCGGAAACGCUAUAGCUAGCAAUAGCGGUUGUGAAGGUGCUGCAUGGUUGUCGUCAGCUCGUGCCGUGAGGUGUCGGCUUAAGUGCCAUAACGAGCGCAACCCUUGCCGAUAGUUACUAACAGGUUAUGCUGAGGACUCUGUCGGGACUGCCAUCGUAAGAUGUGAGGAAGGUGGGGAUGACGUCAAAUCAGCACGGCCCUUACGUCCGGGGCUACACACGUGUUACAAUGGGGGGUACAGAGGGCUGCUACCACGCAAGUGGAUGCCAAUCCCAAAAACCUCUCUCAGUUCGGAUUGAAGUCUGCAACCCGACUUCAUGAAGCUGGAUUCGCUAGUAAUCGCGCAUCAGCCACGGCGCGGUGAAUACGUUCCC
rnacentral:rRNA from 1 species